rnacentral:rRNA from 1 species
UACGUAGGGUGCAAGCGUUGUCCGGAUUUAUUGGGCGUAAAGGGCGCGUAGGCGGUCAGCACAAGUCAGUUGUGAAAUCUCCGGGCUUAACUCGGAAAGGUCAACUGAUACUGUGCGACUAGAGUGCGGAAGGGGCAACUGGAAUUCUCGGUGUAGCGGUGAAAUGCGUAGAUAUCGAGAGGAACACCUGCGGCGAAGGCGGGUUGCUGGGCCGACACUGACGCUGAUGCGCGAAAGCCAGGGGAGCGAACGGG